rnacentral:rRNA from 1 species
AUCAUUACCGAGUUUACAACUCCCAAACCCCUGUGAACAUACCACUUGUUGCCUCGGCGGAUCAGCCCGCUCCCGGUAAAACGGGACGGCCCGCCAGAGGACCCCUAAACUCUGUUUCUAUAUGUAACUUCUGAGUAAAACCAUAAAUAAAUCAAAACUUUCAACAACGGAUCUCUUGGUUCUGGCAUCGAUGAAGAACGCAGCAAAAUGCGAUAAGUAAUGUGAAUUGCAGAAUUCAGUGAAUCAUCGAAUCUUUGAACGCACAUUGCGCCCGCCAGUAUUCUGGCGGGCAUGCCUGUUCGAGCGUCAUUUCAACCCUCAAGCACAGCUUGGUGUUGGGACUCGCGUUAAUUCGCGUUCCCCAAAUUGAUUGGCGGUCACGUCGAGCUUCCAUAGCGUAGUAGUAAAACCCUCGUUACUGGUAAUCGUCGCGGCCACGCCGUUAAACCCCAACUUCUGAAUGUUGACCUCGGAUCAGGUAGGAAUACCCGCUG